CCCCGCCACAAUGCAAAGAAAAACCUGUUCGUCCGCCUCUCCUCGGCCUGCAAACGCCGAAGCACUUCAGGACUGGAAUUCGAAAGCAGCAACGCUGAAAGCAGCAG